AUGGGUGUUAAGUGCUCCAAAGAGGUGGCCACCGCCAUCCGUGGGGCCAUCAUCCUGACCAAACUCUCCAUUGUCCCGGUGCGCAGAGGCUACUGGGGGAACAAGAUCGGCAAGCCCCACCCCGUCCCUUGCAAGGUGACAGGCCGCUGUGGCUCUGUGCUGGUGCGCCUCAUCCCUGCACCCAGGGGCACUGGCAUCGUCUCAGCGCCUGUGCCCAAGAAGCUGCUCAUGAUGGCUGGUAUUGAUGACUGCUACACCUCAGCCCGGAGCUGCACUGCCACCCUGGGCAACUUCGCCAAGGCCACCUUUGAUGCCAUCUCUAAGACCUACAGCUACCUGACCCCUGACCUGUGGAAGGAGACUGUUUUUUCCAAGUCUACCUAUCAGGAAUUCACUGACCACCUUGUCAAGAACCACACCAGAGUCUCCGUGCAGCGGACCCAGGCUCCAGCUGUGGCUACAACAUAGGCUUUUUAUAAAAGAAAAAAAAAGUGAAUUAAGCCUG